UAACGGCGAGUGAAGCGGCAACAGCUCAAAUUUGAAAUCUGGCGGCCUCUGUGUGCCGUCCGAGUUGUAAUUUGAAGAGGAUGCUUUUGGCGAGGCGCCUUCCGAGUGCCCUGGAACGGGACGCCACAGAGGGUGAGAGCCCCGUAUGGUUGGACGCCGAGCCUCUGUAAAGCUCCUUCGACGAGUCGAGUAGUUUGGGAAUGCUGCUCAAAAUGGGAGGUAAACCCCUUCUAAAGCUAAAUACUGGCCAGAGACCGAUAGCGCACAAGUAGAGUGAUCGAAAGAUGAAAAGCACUUUGAAAAGAGAGUUAAAUAGCACGUGAAAUUGUUGAAAGGGAAGCGCUUGCGACCAGACUUGUGCCCGUCGAAUCAGCCGCCGCUCGCCGGCGGCGCACUUCGGCGGGCUCAGGCCAGCAUCAGUUCGCUGCAGGGGGAGAAAGGCGGCGGGAAUGUGGCUCUUCGGAGUGUUAUAGCCCGCCGCGCAAUACCCCUCGGCGGACUGAGGACCGCGCAUCUGCAAGGAUGCU
rnacentral:rRNA from 1 species